ACUAAGCGUACACGGUGGAUGCCCUGGCAGUCAGAGGCGAUGAAGGACGUGCUAAUCUGCGAUAAGCGUCGGUAAGGUGAUAUGAACCGUUAUAACCGGCGAUUUCCGAAUGGGGAAACCCAGUGUGAUUCGUCACACUAUCAUUAACUGAAUCCAUAGGUUAAUGAGGCGAACCGGGGGAACUGAAACAUCUAAGUACCCCGAGGAAAAGAAAUCAACCGAGAUUCCCCCAGUAGCGGCGAGCGAACGGGGAGGAGCCCAGAGCCUGAAUCAGUGUGUGUGUUAGUGGAAGCGUCUGGAAAGGCGCGCGAUACAGGGUGACAGCCCCGUACACAAAAAUGCACAUACUGUGAGCUCGAUGAGUAGGGCGGGACACGUGGUAUCCUGUCUGAAUAUGGGGGGACCAUCCUCCAAGGCUAAAUACUCCUGACUGACCGAUAGUGAACCAGUACCGUGAGGGAAAGGCGAAAAGAACCCCGGCGAGGGGAGUGAAAAAGAACCUGAAACCGUGUACGUACAAGCAGUGGGAGCCUCUUUAUGGGGUGACUGCGUACCUUUUGUAUAAUGGGUCAGCGACUUAUAUUCUGUAGCAAGGUUAACCGAAUAGGGGAGCCGAAGGGAAACCGAGUCUUAACUGGGCGUUAAGUUGCAGGGUAUAGACCCGAAACCCGGUGAUCUAGCCAUGGGCAGGUUGAAGGUUGGGUAACACUAACUGGAGGACCGAACCGACUAAUGUUGAAAAAUUAGCGGAUGACUUGUGGCUGGGGGUGAAAGGCCAAUCAAACCGGGAGAUAGCUGGUUCUCCCCGAAAGCUAUUUAGGUAGCGCCUCGUGAAUUCAUCUCCGGGGGUAGAGCACUGUUUCGGCAAGGGGGUCAUCCCGACUUACCAACCCGAUGCAAACUGCGAAUACCGGAGAAUGUUAUCACGGGAGACACACGGCGGGUGCUAACGUCCGUCGUGAAGAGGGAAACAACCCAGACCGCCAGCUAAGGUCCCAAAGUCAUGGUUAAGUGGGAAACGAUGUGGGAAGGCCCAGACAGCCAGGAUGUUGGCUUAGAAGCAGCCAUCAUUUAAAGAAAGCGUAAUAGCUCACUGGUCGAGUCGGCCUGCGCGGAAGAUGUAACGGGGCUAAACCAUGCACCGAAGCUGCGGCAGCGACACUAUGUGUUGUUGGGUAGGGGAGCGUUCUGUAAGCCUGUGAAGGUGGCCUGUGAGGGUUGCUGGAGGUAUCAGAAGUGCGAAUGCUGACAUAAGUAACGAUAAAGCGGGUGAAAAGCCCGCUCGCCGGAAGACCAAGGGUUCCUGUCCAACGUUAAUCGGGGCAGGGUGAGUCGACCCCUAAGGCGAGGCCGAAAGGCGUAGUCGAUGGGAAACAGGUUAAUAUUCCUGUACUUGGUGUUACUGCGAAGGGGGGACGGAGAAGGCUAUGUUGGCCGGGCGACGGUUGUCCCGGUUUAAGCGUGUAGGCUGGUUUUCCAGGCAAAUCCGGAAAAUCAAGGCUGAGGCGUGAUGACGAGGCACUACGGUGCUGAAGCAACAAAUGCCCUGCUUCCAGGAAAAGCCUCUAAGCAUCAGGUAACAUCAAAUCGUACCCCAAACCGACACAGGUGGUCAGGUAGAGAAUACCAAGGCGCUUGAGAGAACUCGGGUGAAGGAACUAGGCAAAAUGGUGCCGUAACUUCGGGAGAAGGCACGCUGAUAUGUAGGUGAAGCGACUUGCUCGUGGAGCUGAAAUCAGUCGAAGAUACCAGCUGGCUGCAACUGUUUAUUAAAAACACAGCACUGUGCAAACACGAAAGUGGACGUAUACGGUGUGACGCCUGCCCGGUGCCGGAAGGUUAAUUGAUGGGGUUAGCGGUAACGCGAAGCUCUUGAUCGAAGCCCCGGUAAACGGCGGCCGUAACUAUAACGGUCCUAAGGUAGCGAAAUUCCUUGUCGGGUAAGUUCCGACCUGCACGAAUGGCGUAAUGAUGGCCAGGCUGUCUCCACCCGAGACUCAGUGAAAUUGAACUCGCUGUGAAGAUGCAGUGUACCCGCGGCAAGACGGAAAGACCCCGUGAACCUUUACUAUAGCUUGACACUGAACAUUGAGCCUUGAUGUGUAGGAUAGGUGGGAGGCUUUGAAGUGUGGACGCCAGUCUGCAUGGAGCCGACCUUGAAAUACCACCCUUUAAUGUUUGAUGUUCUAACGUUGACCCGUUAUCCGGGUUGCGGACAGUGUCUGGUGGGUAGUUUGACUGGGGCGGUCUCCUCCUAAAGAGUAACGGAGGAGCACGAAGGUUGGCUAAUCCUGGUCGGACAUCAGGAGGUUAGUGCAAUGGCAUAAGCCAGCUUGACUGCGAGCGUGACGGCGCGAGCAGGUGCGAAAGCAGGUCAUAGUGAUCCGGUGGUUCUGAAUGGAAGGGCCAUCGCUCAACGGAUAAAAGGUACUCCGGGGAUAACAGGCUGAUACCGCCCAAGAGUUCAUAUCGACGGCGGUGUUUGGCACCUCGAUGUCGGCUCAUCACAUCCUGGGGCUGAAGUAGGUCCCAAGGGUAUGGCUGUUCGCCAUUUAAAGUGGUACGCGAGCUGGGUUUAGAACGUCGUGAGACAGUUCGGUCCCUAUCUGCCGUGGGCGCUGGAGAACUGAGGGGGGCUGCUCCUAGUACGAGAGGACCGGAGUGGACGCAUCACUGGUGUUCGGGUUGUCAUGCCAAUGGCACUGCCCGGUAGCUAAAUGCGGAAGAGAUAAGUGCUGAAAGCAUCUAAGCACGAAACUUGCCCCGAGAUGAGUUCUCCCUGACUCCUUGAGAGUCCUGAAGGAACGUUGAAGACGACGACGUUGAUAGGCCGGGUGUGUAAGCGCAGCGAUGCGUUGAGCUAACCGGUACUAAUGAACCGUGAGGCUUAACC
rnacentral:rRNA from 1 species